UACGUAGGGUGCAAGCGUUGUCCGGAAUUAUUGGGAGUAAAGAGCUCGUAGGCGGUUCGUCGCGUCGGCUGUGAAAACCCGGAGCUCAACUCCGGGCCUGCAGUCGAUACGGGCGGACUUGAGUGUUGCAGGGGAGACUGGAAUUCCUGGUGUAGCGGUGAAAUGCGCAGAUAUCAGGAGGAACACCGGUGGCGAAGGCGGGUCUCUGGGCAACUACUGACGCUGAGGAGCGAAAGCGUGGGGAGCGAACAGG
rnacentral:rRNA from 1 species